GUAAAACAUCUGCAUAUGAGAACUAAGGAAAAACUAGAAAAUCCAACAAACUAAACACUUCAUCAUCUCUGCUAGACACUGAGGAUACAAAGACCUACAAACCGGCCCCCCACCCCCACCCCCGCCAACUUCAAGAAGCAAAAUCUCUCGUUGAGAGGUGAACAUGUCCCCAGCUAACGGAAAGAGAAGGAGAAGCCCAUGUUGCCUGUCAGGGAUUGUGACCAAAGCUGCAUAAUUCUGGAUCUUGAAGACGAUGUGGGACUUCUUGCUUAACCAGAUUUCUGACCUUGGUAGAAGCAGCAACUGCCUGCCACUUCUUUCUCGGAAGUCGGUGGCCAAGUUCUGCAAUGUGUUGUUGGACGUCAUUCCACAAAACUCAGACUACAGCCUGCUUCUCCAGCGUUCUUAAUGAUACAGAGAUAUCCUUG
rnacentral:lncRNA from 1 species